rnacentral:rRNA from 1 species
AAUGACGAGAAGCUUGCUUCUCUGAUUUAGCGGCGGACGGGUGAGUAACACGUGGGCAACCUGCCCUGUAGACUGGGAUAACUUCGGGAAACCGGAGCUAAUACCGGAUAAUUCUUUUAGCCUCAUGGCUUUAAGCUAAAAGGCGCUUCGGCGUCACUACAGGAUGGGCCCGCGGUGCAUUAGCUAGUUGGUGGGGUAACGGCCUACCAAGGCAACGAUGCAUAGCCGACCUGAGAGGGUGAUCGGCCACAUUGGGACUGAGACACGGCCCAAACUCCUACGGGAGGCAGCAGUAGGGAAUCUUCCACAAUGGACGAAAGUCUGAUGGAGCAACGCCGCGUGAGUGAUGAAGGUUUUCGGAUCGUAAAACUCUGUUGUAAGGGAAGAACAAGUGCGUUAGGUAAUGAACGCACCUUGACGGUACCUUAUUAGAAAGCCACGGCUAACUACGUGCCAGCAGCCGCGGUAAUACGUAGGUGGCAAGCGUUGUCCGGAUUUAUUGGGCGUAAAGCGCGCGCAGGUGGUUUCUUAAGUCUGAUGUGAAAGCCCACGGCUCAACCGUGGAGGGUCAUUGGAAACU